UACGAAGGGGACUAGCGUUGUUCGGAAUCACUGGGCGUAAAGCGCACGUAGGCGGAUAUGUCAGUCAGGGGUGAAAUCCCGGGGCUCAACCUCGGAACUGCCUUUGAUACAGUAUAUCUUGAGUCCGAUAGAGGUGGGUGGAAUUCCUAGUGUAGAGGUGAAAUUCGUAGAUAUUAGGAAGAACACCGGUGGCGAAGGCGGCAUCCUGGACCAAUUCUGACGCUGAGGAGCGAAAGCCAGGGGAGCAAACGGG
rnacentral:rRNA from 1 species